GAUGAACGCUGGCGGCGUGCCUAAUACAUGCAAGUCGAGCGAACAGAUGAGGAGCUUGCUCCUCUGACGUUAGCGGCGGACGGGUGAGUAACACGUGGAUAACCGACCUAUAAGACUGGGAUAACUUCGGGAAACCGGAGCUAAUACCGGAUAAUAUAUUGAACCGCAUGGUUCAAUAGUGAAAGACGGUUUUGCUGUCACUUAUAGAUGGAUCCGCGCCGCAUUAGCUAGUUGGUAAGGUAACGGCUUACCAAGGCAACGAUGCGUAGCCGACCUGAGAGGGUGAUCAGCCACACUGGAACUGAGACACGGUCCAGACUCCUACGGGAGGCAGCAGUAGGGAAUCUUCCGCAAUGGGCGAAAGCCUGACGGAGCAACGCCGCGUGAGUGAUGAAGGUCUUCGGAUCGUAAAACUCUGUUAUUAGGGAAGAACAAAUGUGUAAGUAACUAUGCACGUCUUGACGGUACCUAAUCAGAAAGCCACGGCUAACUACGUG
rnacentral:rRNA from 1 species